rnacentral:rRNA from 1 species
UACGUAGGUGGCAAGCGUUGUCCGGAUUUAUUGGGUUUAAAGGGUGCGUAGGCGGUCUUUUAAGUCAGUGCUGAAAUACUCCAGCUUAACUGGAGGGGUGGCAUUGAUACUGGAAGACUUGAGUAUAGUUGAGGUAGGCGGAAUUGACGGUGUAGCGGUGAAAUGCUUAGAUAUCGUCAAGAACACCGAUAGCGAAGGCAGCUUACCAAGCAGUAACUGACGCUCAGGCACGAAAGUGCGGGGAUCAAACAGG